rnacentral:ncRNA from 2 species
AUUUUUACAGGCGAUGGAGUUCACCUUUAACCGCGUCAACGCUGAUGACUCCUGCUAUCUA